rnacentral:rRNA from 1 species
AGUGAACGCUGGCGGUAGGCCUAACACAUGCAAGUCGAACGGCAGCACAGUAAGAGCUUGCUCUUACGGGUGGCGAGUGGCGGACGAGUGAGGAAUACAUCGGCAUCUACUUUUUCGUGGGGGAUAACGUGGGACAACUUACGCUAAUACAGCAUAUGACCUACGGGUGAAAGCAGGGGUUCUUCGGACCUUGCGCGAUUGAUUGAGCCGAUGUCGGAUUAGCUAGUUGGCGGGGUAAAGGCCCACCAAGGCGACGAUCCGUAGCUGGUCUGAGAGGAUGAUCAGCCACACUGGAACUGAGACACGGUCCAGACUCCUACGGGAGGCAGCAGUGGGGAAUAUUGGGCAAUGGGCGCAAGCCUGAUGCAGCCAUACCGCGUGGGUGAAGAAGGCCUUCGGGUUGUAAAGCCCUGUUGUUGGGAAAGAAAAACAGCAGAUUAAUACCCCGCCGUUCUGACGGUACCUAAAGAAUAAGCACCGGCUAACUUCGUG